GCCAGGCACCUUGGUGUGUGCCUGUAAUCCCAGCAGCUCAGGAGGCUGAGGCAGGAGGAUCACGAGUUCAAAGACAGCCUCAGCAAAAGUGAGGUGCUAAGCAACUCAGUGAGACCCUGUCUCUA
rnacentral:sRNA from 1 species